ensembl:lncRNA
AUGUAUUAUCAUUUCUAUUAUUAGCAGUCUGUACAGUUAUUUAUAAAUGGAUGCAGAUGAUCAAAGCUGAUUGGCUUCCCAGUGACACUGUCAGGGUCCCUGUGCCUACCCGGUCGGCUCAGUAUGGCUACAUAUGUUUUUAUUUUCUUUUUUGUUCCUGCUCUCUCCCUUCCCCUCUUUUCCUCCUCCCUCUGCCUGGGCGGAGCUCACCUGUGGGCUCCUGCCCUUGGCCCACGCACCUGGUCGCGAUCACGCACCUGUGGCUCAUCACGAGAGUGUUCCAGCUCCUUUAUAAGAUGGCAGCUCUGCGUUUCUCGUUGCUGGAUCGUUGCCGACCCUCAGUAUUCCCUGGACCAACCCCUGUGUUACCUGAGUGAUUGGAGUAUGAAGAGGCGCGUGAGGGGUGGACGGAAUGAGUGUGUGACUUUCGGCGUCUUUCCCAUUCGUGUGUGGACCCCCGGAGCCCGGCUUUCCCCUCACCUUUGUAAAUAGAUCACCUGGUGUAUUGUAAUAAAGACUCUUGUGCUUUCAAGACCUAGAGCCUGCACGUGAGUCCGUUCAGUCCCGUUGUGACAGACUCCUGUUUCACUGUGUUUAAGUAACAAGCCGGUACACUCAGACUGCUUAUGAACACCUGUUCUGAAGGCAAAACGAGGUCAAACCCUGAACAAGCAAGGAAACUGGCAGCAGGUGGAUGCUGCUGCUGCUGCUGCUGCCUCUGAUGAUGUCAAUGACGCG